rnacentral:rRNA from 1 species
UAAACCCCUUUCAGGAGGGACGAAGGCUCGCCGGUGAAUAGCCGUGCGGGUUGACGGUACCUCCACAAGAAGCUCCGGCUAACUACGUGCCAGCAGCCGCGGUAAUACGUAGGGAGCAAGCGUUGUCCGGAAUCAUUGGGCGUAAAGCGCGCGUAGGUGGCCUCAUAAGUCCGCUGUGAAAGUCAAAGGCUCAACCUUUGAAAGCCGGUGGAUACUGUGGGGCUAGAGUACGGAAGAGGCGAGUGGAAUUCCUGGUGUAGCGGUGGAAUGCGCAGAUAUCAGGAGGAACACCAAUAGCGAAGGCAGCUCGCUGGGACGUUACUGACACUGAGGCGCGAAAGCGUGGGGAGCGAACAGGAUUAGAUACCCUGGUAGUCCACGCCGUAAACGAUGGGUACUAGGUGUGGGAGGUGUCGACUCCUCCCGUGCCGUCGCUAACGCACUAAGUACCCCGCCUGGGGAGUACGGCCGCAAGGCUAAAACUCAAAGGAAUUGACGGGGGCCCGCACAAGCAGCGGAGCAUGUGGUUUAAUUCGACGCAACGCGAAGAACCUUACCUGGGCUUGACAUGUUGGUGACCGCCGUGGAAACACGGUUUUCCUUCGGGACACCAUCACAGG